rnacentral:rRNA from 2 species
UAAGCAUAUCAUUAAGCGGAGGAAAAGAAACUAACAAGGAUUCCCCUAGUAACUGCGAGUGAAGCGGGAAAAGCUCAAAUUUAAAAUCUGGCAGUCUUUGGCUGUCCGAGUUGUAGUCUGGAGAAGUGCUUUCCGUGCUGGACCGUGUACAAGUCUCUUGGAACAGAGCGUCACAGAGGGUGAGAAUCCCGUCUUUGACACGGACUACCAGUGCUUUGUGAUGCGCUCUCAAAGAGUCGAGUUGUUUGGGAAUGCAGCUCAAAAUGGGUGGUAAAUUCCAUCUAAAGCUAAAUAUUGGCGAGAGACCGAUAGCGAACAAGUACCGUGAGGGAAAGAUGAAAAGCACUUUGGAAAGAGAGUUAAACAGUACGUGAAAUUGCUGAAAGGGAAACGCUUGAAGUCAGUCGCGUUGGCCGGAACUCAGCCUUGCUUUUGCUUGGUGCAUUUUCUGGUUGACGGGCCAGCAUCAAUUUUGAUUGUCGGAUAAAGGCUAGGGGAAUGUGGCAUCUUCGGAUGUGUUAUAGCCCUUGGUCACAUACGAUGGUUGGGAUUGAGGAUCUCAGCACACCUUUAUGGUCGGGGUUCGCCCACGCUUUGUGCUUAGGAUGCUGGCGUAAUGGCUUUAAACGACCCGUCUUGAAACACGGACCAAGGAGUCUAACAUGCCUGCGAGUGUUUGGGUGGUAAACCCGAGCGCGCAAUGAAAGUGAAAGUUGAGACCCCUGUCAUGGGGGGCAUCGACGCCCGGACCAGACCUUCUGUGACGGCUCCGCGGUAGAGCAUGUAUGUUGGGACCCGAAAGAUGGUGAACUAUGCCUGAAUAGGGUGAAGCCAGAGGAAACUCUGGUGGAGGCUCGUAGCGAUUCUGACGUGCAAAUCGAUCGUCAAAUUUGGGUAUAGGGGCGAAAGACUAAUCGAACCAUCUAGUAGCUGGUUCCUGCCGAGUU